rnacentral:rRNA from 1 species
UACAGAGGUGGCAAGCGUUGUUCGGAAUUACUGGGCGUAAAGGGCGCGUAGGCGGCCUCAUAAGUCCUGUGUGAAAUCCCCCGGCUCAACUGGGGAACUGCACAGGAGACUGUUUGGCUUGAGUUCGGGAGAGGGAAGCGGAAUUCCGGGUGUAGCGGUGAAAUGCGUAGAUAUCCGGAGGAACACCGGUGGCGAAGGCGGCUUCCUGGACCGACACUGACGCUGAGGCGCGAAAGCUAGGGGAGCAAACGGG